rnacentral:rRNA from 1 species
AGAACGAACGCUGGCGGCAUGCCUAAUACAUGCAAGUCGAACGAACACUUCGGUGUUAGUGGCGCACGGGUGCGUAACGCGUGGGAAUCUGCCCUUGGGUUCGGAAUAACAGUUGGAAACGACUGCUAAUACCGGAUGAUAUCGAAAGAUCAAAGAUUUAUCGCCCAGGGAUGAGCCCGCGUAGGAUUAGCUAGUUGGUGAGGUAAAGGCUCACCAAGGCAACGAUCCUUAGCUGGUCUGAGAGGAUGAUCAGCCACACUGGGACUGAGACACGGCCCAGACUCCUACGGGAGGCAGCAGUAGGGAAUAUUGGACAAAUGGGCGAAAGACCGUCGA